rnacentral:misc_RNA from 1 species
GUAGGUGAACCUGCGGAAGGAUCAUUACUAGAGCAAAGGAUAGGCAGCGCCCCACAGAAGCUUGCUUCGUGGCGGGCUACCCUACUUCGGUAGGGUUUAGAGUCGUCGAACCUCUCGGAGAAGUUCGGUCCUGAACUCCACCCUUGAAUAAAUUACCUUUGUUGCUUUGGCGGGCCGCCUCGUGCCAGUGGCUUCGGCUGUUGAGUGCCCGCCAGAGGACCACAACUCUUGUUUUUAGUGAUGUCUGAGUACUAUAUAAUAGUUAAAACUUUCAACAACGGAUCUCUUGGUUCUG